CCCUAGAGAUAGGGCUUCUCCUUCGGGAGCAGAGUGACAGGUGGUGCAUGGUUGUCGUCAGCUCGUGUCGUGAGAUGUUGGGUUAAGUCCCGCAACGAGCGCAACCCUUGAUCUUAGUUGCCAUCAUUAAGUUGGGCACUCUAAGGUGACUGCCGGUGACAAACCGGAGGAAGGUGGGGAUGACGUCAAAUCAUCAUGCCCCUUAUGACCUGGGCUACACACGUGCUACAAUGGACGGUACAAAGAGCUGCAAGACCGCGAGGUGGAGCUAAUCUCAUAAAACCGUUCUCAGUUCGGAUUGUAGGCUGCAACUCGCCUACAUGAAGCUGGAAUCGCUAGUAAUCGCGGAUCAGCAUGCCGCGGUGAAUACGUUCCCGGGCCUUGUACACACCGCCCGUCACACCACGAGAGUUUGUAACACCCGAAGUCGGUGGGGUAACCUUUUUGGAGCCAGCCGCCUAAGGUGGGACAGAUGAUUGGGGUGAAGUCGUAACAAGGUAGCCGUAUCGGAAGGUGCGGCUGGAUCACCUCCUUUCUAUGGA
rnacentral:rRNA from 1 species